rnacentral:misc_RNA from 1 species
GAUGAAGAACGUAGCGAAAUGCGAUAAGUAAUGUGAAUUGCAGAAUUUAGUGAAUCAUCGAAUCUUUGAACGCACCUUGCGCCCUUUGGCCAUUCCGAAGGGCAUGCCUGUUUGAGUAUCAUGAACACCUCAACUCUUUAUGGUUUUCCAUGAUGAGCUUGGACUCUGGGGGUUUUGCUGGCUCACAGUCGGCUCCUCUAAAAUGAAUCAGCUUACCAGUGUUUGGUGGGUAUCAUGGGUGUGAUAACUAUCUACGCUUGUGGUUUUUCCACCAGGUAACCUUCAGCAGUGGAGGUUCGCUGGAGCUCAUAGAUGUCUCUCCUCAGUGAGGACAGCCCUUUGAAUGUUUGAUCUCAAAUCAGGUAGGACUACCCGCUGAACUUAAGCAUAUCAAUAAGCGGAGGA